UGUACAUGAACAGAGAUACAAAUUCAGUGUGUAUCCAUCGGUAUAUAAACGGCAGCUAAAUCUGCCUGUAUAAAUCUCACUGAUGUUGCACUCUGUCACAAAGCAAGUAUUUUGCAUAAUUAGCCUGGAUACUCAGCCACAUUUUUCAGGAGCCAGCUAGUUCACUGCCCUCACUGCAAUAGGAUGACACCCACUAUAAUAGGAGCUCCUGGCUGCUUAGCAGUCUUGGAAUGUGGGUUCCAUGGAACUUGGAAGAAUCAAAGUGGGAAUCCUGGGAACCGAUGCCAUAGAAUAAAGUUGCUGCUUCAUUCCAUAGGUGAGGAAAUUGAAGAAAUAAAACCAAGAGAAGGAUAAACAAGGAUAUUUUUUAUUUCCAGUAUUUUUUUUUUUUCUGUGUUUCAUUUUAGGGCAUAUUCUGCUUUCAUGUGCAGAGCUGUAAGCCCAGAGCAGCUCAGCAACAUGCUCCUAUAGUCAGUCCUUCCCUGACUCUGUUGAUUCAAUGCAUAAAAGGUUGACAGUGAAGAAAACGUGAAAUACAGUAUAAUGAAUAGAAGCAGCUGCAACAGCAUCACGGUCUGUCUGCAAGCAGAUGACCAUUCCUGUCUGAAAAUGUUCCAAAAACCUGCCUGAAUUUAAUUUUCUCUUUAAAACUGAAAGUGUUCUGAUUAUUAUUCAAUAAUUAAUUACAUAUUUUAUAAACAGGCUUUAUGCAAUGUGCAGUACUUUUGGGAAAGCUCACCACAAAUAGUGAUUCACGUAGACAAGUGUCUAGAAUUGUAUUUUUUAUUUAUUUAUUUUUUUUUUAGUAAAAAAUAUUUUCUAAUAUUGAAAGCCAGUGGUAUUACAUUACUUUUCACAACUGUUUUUAUCACCAGGGUCUUGGUAAGGUUAUCUUCUGCUUGCAGAUUCCUCAUUGUGUAAGUUUUAAGUGCAGCACAUGUAGCUUUUUGGCUAAAUAUCUAUGGAGUAUACUUUACAUAUGUAAGACCACCUACAUAUUAAUGUGUUUUUAAAAAUAUAUAAUAUUGAAAGAACAGAUAAAAUGAUUCCAUGGGACUGUGAAAAACAAAACAAAACACAAAAUUUUCAGGUACAAAAAAAAAGGAAAAAAGAAAAAUAAAAUUUGAAAAAGGCAACA
rnacentral:lncRNA from 1 species